AAAUGCUCCUUGCUGGUAGCAAGACACCUGAUCAAAGUACCGCAAUUGAUUUCUGACAGGAAGAAGCAACGAAGAGAAACAGGUUAUAUGGUCGGCACACUGCCCUAUGACCAGGAACUGGUGCUGACUGGCUAUGAGGACCUAGAAGUAGAAGUCACCAGCAAAUACAAGAACUCUCACCGGAGUGAAAGCUACAGCAGGUGGACCAGACAG